rnacentral:lncRNA from 1 species
CAAGGAAUAACCAAAUUUCUUAGUGGAUCUUCAUGGUAUCAUUUAUUCACACGUCUGUAGUCAAAAAGAUGGAAAAAGGUACAAUUUCUCUAAAAACAAAAGCAUGUUUCUAAAGCUCUUAGAAUUUUGUAUGUGCUGCCAAAUAAUUAUAAGCUGGCAUGCUUACUUCUUUUUAGCCGAGUCUUUCUAGAAUUGGAUAAUCAUAUAAUAAGAGUGUAUUCAUUUUUUUUGUU